GGGUUGUGAGGUUAAGCGACUAAGCGUACACGGUGGAUGCCCUGGCAGUCAGAGGCGAUGAAGGACGUGCUAAUCUGCGAAAAGCGUCGGUAAGGUGAUAUGAACCGUUAUAACCGGCGAUGUCCGAAUGGGGAAACCCAGUGCAAUUCGUUGCACUAUCGUUAACUGAAUACAUAGGUUAACGAGGCGAACCGGGGAACUGAAACAUCUAAGUACCCCGAGGAAAAGAAAUCAACCGAGAUUCCCCAGUAGCGGCGAGCGAACGGGGAGCAGCCCAGAGUCUGAAUCAGCUUGUGUGUUAGUGGAACGGUCUGGAAAGUCCGACGGUACAGGGUGAUAGUCCCGUACACCAAAAUGCACAGGCUGUGAACUCGAAGAGUAGGGCGGGACACGUGGUAUCCUGUCUGAAUAUGGGGACCAUCCUCCAAGGCUAAAUACUCCUGACUGACCGAUAGUGAACCAGUACCGUGAGGGAAAGGCGAAAAGAACCCCGGCGAGGGGAGUGAAAAGAACCUGAAACCGUGUACGUACAAGCAGUGGGAGCACCUUCGGGUGUGACUGCGUACCUUUGUAUAAUGGGUCAGCGACUUAUAUUCUGUAGCAAGGUUAACCGUAUAGGGGAGCCGCAGGGAAACCGAGUCUUAACUGGGCGUUAAGUUGCAGGGUAUAGACCCGAAACCCGGUGAUCUAGCCAUGGGCAGGUUGAAGGUUGGGUAACACUAACUGGAGGACCGAACCGACUAAUGUUGAAAAAUUAGCGGAUGACUUGUGGCUGGGGGUGAAAGGCCAAUCAAACCGGGAGAUAGCUGGUUCUCCCCGAAAGCUAUUUAGGUAGCGCCUCGUGAAUUCAUCUUCGGGGGUAGAGCACUGUUUCGGCUAGGGGGUCAUCCCGACUUACCAACCCGAUGCAAACUACGAAUACCGAAGAAUGUUAUCACGGGAGACACACGGCGGGUGCUAACGUCCGUCGUGAAGAGGGAAACAACCCAGACCGCCAGCUAAGGUCCCAAAGUCAUGGUUAAGUGGGAAACGAUGUGGGAAGGCACAGACAGCCGGGAUGUUGGCUUAGAAGCAGCCAUCAUUUAAAGAAAGCGUAAUAGCUCACUGGUCGAGUCGGCCUGCGCGGAAGAUGUAACGGGGCUAAACCAUGCACCGAAGCUGCGGCAGCGACACUAUGUGUUGUUGGGUAGGGAGCGUUCUGUAAGCCUGCGAAGGUGACCUGUGAGGGUUGCUGGAGGUAUCAGAAGUGCGAAUGCUGACAUAAGUAACGAUAAAGCGGGUGAAAAGCCCGCUCGCCGGAAGACCAAGGGUUCCUGUCCAACGUUAAUCGGGGCAGGGUGAGUCGACCCUAAGGCGAGGCCGAAAGGCGUAGUCGAUGGGAAACAGGUUAAUAUUCCUGUACUUGGUGUUACUGCGAAGGGGACGGAGAAGGCUAUGUUAGCCGGGCGACGGUUGUCCCGGUUUAAGCAUGUAGGCUGGUUAUCCAGCAAAUCCGGAUAAUCAAGGCUGAGGUGUGAUGACGAGGCACUACGGUGCUGAAGUAACAAAUGCCCUGCUUCCGGGAAAAGCCUCUAAGCAUCAGGUAACAUCAAAUCGUACCCCAAACCGACACAGGUGGUCAGGUAGAGAAUACCAAGGCGCUUGAGAGAACUCGGGUGAAGGAACUAGGCAAAAUGGUGCCGUAACUUCGGGAGAAGGCACGCUGGUGUGUAGGUGAAGUCCCUGCGGAUGGAGCUGAGACCAGUCGAAGAUACCAGCUGGCUGCAACUGUUUAUUAAAAACACAGCACUGUGCAAACACGAAAGUGGACGUAUACGGUGUGACGCCUGCCCGGUGCCGGAAGGUUAAUUGAUGGGGUUAUCCGUAAGGAGAAGCUCUUGAUCGAAGCCCCGGUAAACGGCGGCCGUAACUAUAACGGUCCUAAGGUAGCGAAAUUCCUUGUCGGGUAAGUUCCGACCUGCACGAAUGGCGUAAUGAUGGCGGGCUGUCUCCACCCGAGACUCAGUGAAAUUGAACUCGCUGUGAAGAUGCAGUGUACCCGCGGCAAGACGGAAAGACCCCGUGAACCUUUACUAUAGCUUGACACUGAACAUUGAGCCUUGAUGUGUAGGAUAGGUGGGAGGCUUUGAAGCGUGGACGCCAGUCUGCGUGGAGCCAACCUUGAAAUACCACCCUUUAAUGUUUGAUGUUCUAACGUUGGCCCCUUACCGGGGUUGCGGACAGUGUCUGGUGGGUAGUUUGACUGGGGCGGUCUCCUCCCAAAGCGUAACGGAGGAGCACGAAGGUUAGCUAAUCUGGUCGGACAUCAGGAGGUUAGUGCAAUGGCAUAAGCUAGCUUGACUGCGAGCGUGACGGCGCGAGCAGGUGCGAAAGCAGGUCAUAGUGAUCCGGUGGUUCUGAAUGGAAGGGCCAUCGCUCAACGGAUAAAAGGUACUCCGGGGAUAACAGGCUGAUACCGCCCAAGAGUUCAUAUCGACGGCGGUGUUUGGCACCUCGAUGUCGGCUCAUCACAUCCUGGGGCUGAAGUAGGUCCCAAGGGUAUGGCUGUUCGCCAUUUAAAGUGGUACGCGAGCUGGGUUUAGAACGUCGUGAGACAGUUCGGUCCCUAUCUGCCGUGGGCGCUGGAGAAUUGAGGGGCUGCUCCUAGUACGAGAGGACCGGAGUGGACGCAUCACUGGUGUUCGGGUUGUCAUGCCAAUGGCACUGCCCGGUAGCUAAAUGCGGAAGAGAUAAGUGCUGAAAGCAUCUAAGCACGAAACUUGCCCCGAGAUGAGUUCUCCUGAGACUUUAAGUCUCCUGAAGGAACGUUAAAGACGAUGACGUUGAUAGGCCGGGUGUGUAAGCGCAGCGAUGCGUUGAGCUAACCGGUACUAAUGAACCGUGAGGCUUAACCUUACAACGCCGAAG
rnacentral:rRNA from 1 species